UCAAAGUUCUUGAAAAUUAAAAUAUCUGUGUUCAGAGGACAGGUCUCCACCUGCAUAUUCUACAGCUUCUCAGAGUCCCGUGGAUGAUGACUGAGGAGACAAACCAUGCAGGAAACAAAA
rnacentral:snoRNA from 1 species